rnacentral:rRNA from 1 species
CGAUGCAACGCGAAGAACCUUACCUGGUCCCCUUGACAUCCCGGAGACCCUUAGGAAACUAGGGGUGCUUCCAUCUGGAAGAAUCUGGAGACAGGUGCUGCAUGGCUGUCGUCAGCUCGUGUCGUGAGAUGUUGGGUUAAGUCCCGCAACGAGCGCAACCCUUGCCUUUAGUUGCCAGCAGUUCGGCUGGGCACUCUAAAGGGACUGCCGGUGUUAAACCGGAGGAAGGUGGGGAUGACGUCAAGUCCUCAUGGCCUUUAUGACCAGGGCUACACACGUGCUACAAUGGUCGGUACAAAGGGUUGCCAAGCCGCGAGGUGGAGCUAAUCCCAUAAAACCGAUCGUAGUCCGGAUCGCAGUCUGCAACUCGACUGCGUGAAGUCGGAAUCGCUAGUAAUCGUGAAUCAGAAUGUCACGGUGAAUACGUUCCCGGGCCUU